UGGGGAAUUUUGCACAAUGGGGGAAACCCUGAUGCAGCGACGCCGCGUGAUGUAGAAGGCCUUCGGGUUGUAAAAAUCUUUUUUAUGGGAUGAAAAUGACAGUACCAUAAGAAUAAGGUCCGGCUAAAUACGUGCCAGCAGCCGCGGUAAUACGUAUGGACCGAGCGUUGUCCGGAAUCAUUGGGCGUAAAGGGUACGUAGGCGGCCCAGUAAGUUAGGAGUGAAAUAAUAUAGCUCAACUAUAUAAAGCGUUUAAAACUGCUAGGCUUGAGAGAUGGAAGGGAAAGUGGAAUUCCUAGUGUAGCGGUGAAAUGCGCAGAUAUUAGGAAGAAUACCGGUGGAGAAGGCGACUUUCUGGUCAUCAUCUGACGCUGAGGUACGAAAGCGUGGGUAGCUAACAGG
rnacentral:rRNA from 1 species